rnacentral:rRNA from 1 species
UACAGGGGGGGCAAGCGUUGUUCGGAAUUACUGGGCGUAAAGGGCUUGUAGGCGGCCAACUAAGUCACACGUGAAAUCCCCAGGCUUAACCUGGGAACUGCGUGUGAUACUGGAUGGCUUGAAUUCGGGAGAGGGAUGCAGAAUUCCAGGUGUAGCGGUGAAAUGCGUAGAUAUCCGGAGGAACACCGGUGGCGAAGGCGGAUCUCUGGGCCAUUACUGACGCUGAGGAGCGAAAGCGUGGGGAGCGAACAGG